GUCGCUGGCCACGAUGGAGUAGGAGACUUGGCCGUUGGGUCCCAGGUCGGGGUCGGAGGCGCUGACUUGGGCGAUAGAGGCUCCAGGAGGAUUGUUCUCAACCACGUGGACCACCUCUCCAGACUGACGAGCAUGUCUGCAUAGUUGGGCUGGGGGAAGAUCACGUGACUCUCCCCGGAGUCCGCGGUGAGGGAGACCUCGUGGGAAUACGUCUGCAGGAAAGCCCGCACCCCAUCCACGCCCACAAAGCGCGAGGCGGGCAAGCCAGCCAAUCCAACCCCCGCAGCCUGGAGCAGACGCGAUGAGCGCCAGCGCCUCAGUCUGAGAGCCAGCAGCACGAUCACAAAAGCGAGGAAGACGCAGGAGACUGUGGCCACCGCCACCACCAGGGUAAAGACUCAUUUUAUCCAUCAGGAUGUUAAAGUUCACCAGGCACCGUGCACUCUGAGCGCAGAGCUCCUCCCGGUCUAUUCUGCCUGCAGUGACCAAGCUGCCGCUUCGCGGAUUCAGAGCGAAAAGCUGUGUCCUACCUCUGGAGACGAUGCGGAUUCCGUGCUCUGCCAGUUCCCGGGGCUCCAGGCCCAGAUCCUUAGCGAUAUUACCCACAAAAGACCCUGUGUCUGUUUCCUCCGGCAAAGAGUAGAAAAUGUGUCCUGCCCAAGCUUCUCUCCGGGUCCCCAGGAGGAUGGAGAGCAGGAUGAAUCCUCUGUAGUCUCGACCCCUCUUCAGAGUCGCCAUUGUUGUCCUGCUGAUCUUGUUAGACACUGGACUAUCUCCUUUUGCGCUUAUGGAUGCCAGUGUGUCAGCGUGGAAUCCUUUGUAUUCAUAAGAGAAGCCCGGAAUUUAGUAUAAUAGAGACCUGAGUUUGAUGCAGCUUGGAAGAGAA